CAGAGUUUCGAGCGCCGCUUCCUAGCGGCGCGCACACUGCGCUCCUUCCCCUGGCAGGUGGGCGGCGGGGCGAGCGGAGAGGCCUGCGGGGCUUGCGGAAGUCCAGGGGCAGACGGGAUGGGUCUCCCUGCUGAAACCCCCGGCGCUCCUGCCACCACGAGGCUGUCCACACGGAGCUUUUGGACGAGCUGUACGAGGCGCUGGCAGAGACCCUGAUGGCCAAGGAGUCCACCCAGGGCCACUGGAGCUAUUUGCUGCCCUCGGAAGGCUCGGUCACACUCUCCGAGCACAGCCAUCAUCUCCCACGGUACCACAGGCCUGGUCACAUGGGACGCUGCCCGCUACCUUGCAGAAUGGGCCAUCAAGAACCUGGCAGCCUUCACUAACAGACGUGCUGUAUUGCCCAGAAGCCAUCGUGUCCCUGGUCGGGGUCCUGCGGAGGCUGGCUGCCUGCUGGGAGCACCAGCGGGCUCCUGAGGUCUACAUGGCCUUUACCGUCCGCAACCCAGAGACGUGCCAGGUGUUCACCACCGAGCUAGGCUGGGCUGGGAUCAGAUGGGAAGCGGAAGCUCAUCAUGACCAGAAACUGUUUCCCUAUGGAGAGCACUUGGAGAUGGCAAUGCUGAACCUCACACUGUAGGACUCAUACACGACUCCAACGGGAUUGUUAGAAUCAAAUCACUCUCGUGGGAAGAAUUUUUAUAUGGGAAAGCGGAUAAAACUUUCAUUGGACUGGAAUGUUUGGAGAAUGUUAAAUUCCAAAUCAGGAACCACAAUCUGCCCUCUAAUAAGACAUCGGCUAUCUAAGCAUGUGGGUGCCCCCUUUCUGCCAGCAGUUCUGGUUCUUAAGAAAAUCACCAUAAAUCAGACAUGAAAAUUCUGGCUCCAAAAAUAGCAUUUUCUUUGUGCAAAUAAAAACGUGUGUAUCAAGUAUGACGUUCCCCCAACGUGGACACACUCGGUUCCUCACAAAGCCAAGCCCGCUGCAGCUGCCACAUCCCUGGACACACUCGGUUCCUCACAAAGCCAAGCUCGCUGCAGCUGCCACAUCCCUGGACACAUUCGGUUCCUCACAAAGCCAAGCCCGCGGCAGCUGCCACAUCCCUGGACACACUCGGUUCCUCACAAAGCCAAGCCCGCUGCAGCUGCCACAUCCCUGGGCUUGUGGUGCAGCAGGUGCUUUUCUCAAGACAGGAAUCAAAGUGUUAGGAACAUGGCAGAAAGGUGACACCUGGAGACCAAAUGCAGGAUGAGGAGUACUGCAGAGGUCACAGGGAAGUCACAGAACAGUAAUACGCUAGCAGGGACAUGGGGCGUGAAGAACAGAAGAAGACAGGAAGCAUUUCUGAGACUCCAAAGAAGAAAUCAGGGCCAACCACAGCUUCCCGGGUCAUUCACCAGGUGGCACCACUGCCGUCAUUUCAGCUUCUGGCCACUGGGAGGCGCUGCUUGAAAGGGUUUGCCCUGAGACUCCAAGAAGAAGCUGCGGGAAGGACAGCAGGGGCCCUGGGGUUUUAGCCUCUGGCCCAGGAGUUAUGUGUCCAUAACCAAAGGGAGCACAGUCUGCACCCAGCUCUCAUCCCAUCAGAGCUGCUGCGACUCCCGCAGGUUCUUCCGGAACUGGUUUAGCUUGCCUUCAGGAUCAGGAAAGUUUGAGAAAAGCAUCUGCAAAAUACUGAAGAGCAGAGCUUACCUCAUUGCCUGUCCCCACCCCAUCCCAGGUCACCACCUGGAUGACCCCAGCUCCCCGACCCAACAACAACCCCUCCCAAGUCCCUAGCUCCCUCACUUGGACUUGAGACCCUUCACACCCCAGCAGCGCUCCGCCUCCAUCUUGACAUGCUUUCUGGAAACUUCCCCGUAUGUCCCACUUUCCCACACUUGGUGCCCUGGAGCACCUUCCGGCCUCUACAUGAUGUACGUUCCCCUGUGAGCACCCUCCUCUCGGCCUCUGGCCAACACAGUCCCACCCAUCUGUGGGUAACAAGGGGGUGUUCUUUUCAGCCUUGCUAAACUGUCUGAAUCAAGGAUCACAAACUACAGCCUGCAGGCCAAAUCCAGCCCACAGCCUGUGUUUGUAAAUAAAGCUUUAUUGGAACAAAGCCACACCCCUUAA
rnacentral:lncRNA from 1 species